rnacentral:misc_RNA from 1 species
GGAAAAUCCAUCCAUGUAACCCUAAAAACACGACAGAGAAGAGAACCAAAGCUUAUCUUCAAACCAUGUCAAAUCUGCCAUUGGACAUGAUCGCUGAAAUCCUCUGCCGGCUACCCGUCAAGAAACUUCUAUGCUGCAGGUGCGUAUCCAAAACAUGGCAUGCCUUAAUAGAUGGCCCAAAUUUCAUCAAUUUGCAUCUCCAGCACUCUAUAGCAACCACCUCUAAUAAAAACGUUAUCCUCAAGAAUUCAGACCUUUACUCCAUAGGUUUCGAUCAACUGAAUAACUUUAAGCAACUUGACCAUCCUUUGAUGUGUUACAAUCAUAGCAUCAGAGUCUUGGGUUCUUGUAAUGGGUUGCUUUGCAUUUGCAAUGUUGUGGACGACAUUGCUCUGUGGAAUCCAUCUAUUAGAAAGUACACCGUUUUACCCUUUUUGCCGAUCGAGCUCAAACGCUAUCUCGGGACAUGCACCUGCAGGGUAUGUGCUUUUGGACUUGGGCAUGAUCCCGUUAAUGAUGAUUAUAAGGUGGUUAGGAUUGCACAGUUUGGUGGAGGCAAUGGAAAAUUUUUUGAGUCUGAGGUUAAGGUUUACAGUUUGAGAAGAAAUUCUUGGAGAAGGAUUGGAGAUAUGCCGUAUUGUGUUCUUUAUCCUGGGGCGAAUGGGGUGUUUGCUUGUGGAGCUUUGCAUUGGCUAGUGAGCCAAGGUCCUGAAUCAAAUGUGGCCAAUAUAAUCGUUGCUUUGGAUUUAGGGGUUGAGGAUUAUAGGGAGGUGCCGCAGCCUGAAUUUAGGGAUAGGAAUUUUAACAGGGAUAUUGGGGUUCUUGGAGGAUGCCUAUGUUUGCUUGCAAAUUUUCAAGGCCAGCGUGUUGAUUUGUGGGUGAUGAAGGAGUACGGGAUGAAGGAAUCUUGGACUAAAUUAUUUUCUGUUGCACAGCAAGAAGGUAUUGGGAUUCUUAGAUCUCUUAAACCUCUAGCUUAUUCAAAGAGUGGCAGUGAAGUUCUUAUGGAGCAUGACAACUUAAACCUUUUAGGGUAUGACCUUAGGAGGAAAGAAGUAAGGAACAUUAGGAUUCAGGAUAUGCCAUUAACAUUUGAAGCAGAAAUUUACGUUGGAAGCCUCGUUCCAGUUAAUCCAAAUAGACCGCUUAAAGGGAGGAGUCGGCAUGAACACAAGGAGAUAAAAGAUGGGAAGAGGAGAGAUGAUUUCUUGUCCGAGGGGUUCAAAUUGGUCCUGUAAACCGAUCUAUGAAGAGCAAGAGAAAGAGCAGAAAGAGGUGGUGAUCAAAUGAUACAAGCGUGGUUGAGAGUUCUUGAUGACAUAAACAUAAAUUAGUUGAUGUUUGCUGUAUUUUGCAGAGUGUUGGCUAAAUCCAUGCUAUGGAUAUAGCUGUGGAUGAUACAGGUGCUACGAUUGCAGAGGAUUGUGUUUGUUUUGCAAGGUUAGCUACUUGAUGUGACAAGUGAUGUAGAUUUCCCGUAAAUUAACACUUAUGAGUCAAUUUCAUGAAAUGUAAUUACUAGAAUAUUUCACGCUAAGUAGAGAUAACAAUGUCAUAUUUUCUUGGUUUGCUGAAAGUGUUAGGAUAAUGGUGUUGAAUGGGAAUCCCACUUGGGUAAGG